rnacentral:rRNA from 1 species
AUUGAACGCUGGCGGCAGGCCUCACACAUGCAAGUCGAACGAGUGGCGGACGGGUGAGUAAUGUCUGGGAAACUGCAUGAUGGAGGGGGAUAACUACUGGAAACGGUAGCUAAUACCAAAUACCAUAGGAUGUGCCCAGAGGGGAUUAGCUAGUAGGUGGGGUAACGGCUCACCUAGGCGACGAUCCUUAACUGGUCUUAGAGGAUGACCAGCCACCAUGGAACUGAGACACGGUCCAGACUCCUACGGGAGGCAUCAGUGGGGAAUAUUGCACAAUGGGCGCAAGCCUGAUGCAGCCAUGCCGCGUGUAUGAAGAAGGCCUUCGGGUUGUAAAGUACUUUCAGCGGGGAGGCGUUACCCGCAGAAGAAGCACCGGCUAACUCCGUGCCAGCAGCCGCGGUAAUUC